AUUGAACGCUGGCGGCAGGCCUAACACAUGCAAGUCGAACGAGUGGCGGACGGGUGAGUAAUGUCUGGGAAACUGCCUGAUGGAGGGGGAUAACUACUGGAAACGGUAGCUAAUACCGCAUACCAUCGGAUGUGUCCAGAUGGGAUUAGAUAGUAGGUGGGGUAACGGCUCACCUAGGCGACGAUCCCUAGCUGGUCUGAGAGGAUGACCAGCCAAACGGGAACUGAGACACGGUCCAGAGUCCGACGGGAGGCAGCAGUGGGGAAUAGUGAACAAUGGGCGCAAGCCUGAUGCAGCCAUGCCGCGUAUAUGAAGAAGGCCUUCGGGUUGUAAAGUACUUACAGCGGGGAGGCGUUACCCGCAGAAGAAGCACGGGCUAACUCAGUGCCAGCGGCCGCAGUAAUAC
rnacentral:rRNA from 1 species